rnacentral:rRNA from 1 species
UACGUAGGGAGCGAGCGUUGUCCGGAAUUACUGGGUGUAAAGGGAGCGUAGGCGGGACAGCAAGUUGAAUGUGAAAUCUAUGGGCUCAACCCAUAAACUGCGUUCAAAACUGUUGUUCUUGAGUGAAGUAGAGGUAGGCGGAAUUCCUAGUGUAGCGGUGAAAUGCGUAGAUAUUAGGAGGAACACCAGUGGCGAAGGCGGCCUACUGGGCUUUAACUGACGCUGAGGCUCGAAAGCGUGGGUAGCAAACAGG